AAACCAUGCAGUUUUUGCAUAAAU
rnacentral:snRNA from 1 species